UGCCCACAACCAAGGUACAUGCCCUUGACCAGAAUUGAACCUGGGACCUUCCAGUCCACAGACCAACACUCUAUCCACUGAGCCAAACCGGUUUUGGCUAUUAUUAUUUUUUUUUUUUUUAACAAUUCUGUAUUUACAGAAGAGUUGCAAAAGUAAUACAGAGUUCCCUUCUUUUCUUCAUGCAGCUUCAUCUAUUAACAUCUUGCAGCACCAUAUUCACCACAACUAAGAAAUCAACAGUGUACAAUACUGUGAAUCAAAUUACAAAUUUAAUUCAGAUCUCACCAUUUUCCAGUGCUUUCCUUUUUCUGGACAGUGUGGGGCCCCACUUUGCAUGGAGCAUAUCACUUUUAGUGGCUUCGUGAUAUUCCCUCCAGCACAUGUUCUAGAAUUAACACACUUGUGUUGGACUCAAAGUAAUUAUGGUUUUUUUUUUUCAAUACUAAUAUAAAUAACAUGCUGGUUCACAGUGUUUUGUUUUUAUAACGUUUGUUCUCAGUUUCUGGUUCUUUUGUGAGAAUAUAGGGCAUGGCGGUAUUUUAAGAGUGUUGAUGCCUGUACCAAAUUUGCCUCCUAGAGUUGCCUGUUCACUCCAGGAACAGAUCGUUGCACUUUCCCACCACCUCUUGUCAGCAGGAUGACCUUUGAUGUGACCUAAAUAGGCCUCAAGCCAGCCUUUGGAAUGGUGUCUUGUCCAGGUGAGCAGGAGUGAACACCUGUUUCACAGACCUUCCAGCCCCUGUACUGCUGGAGUUGAUGACUAUUGGGAUGAGCUCAGCAAAGCUCCCUGAGAAGUAAAAUGGCACAGGGAAAGACAAAUAUACUAGACUUUCCAGAGGCAAAUCAUGACAUGUUAGCAGAAAAUGUUCAUUCUAUGUCCCAGUGGAAGGAACCUGAUACAUAUUAACCCAAAAUUUAUAUUAGCCUUGGGGUUAAUUAUAUGACAUCAGAAGGUAGGUAGCAGACUUUCAUUCUGGAUUAUUUAUGCACAAGAGACUAUUAAGUUUUAUAGCUAGUCUCUGAGGGCACAUCAGUUCACAGGCUGGGAAGGCAGCCCAGAGGCCCCAGGAUUUCAUGGUUUGAGAGUAUCGUGUGACUCACAGACACUGGGAAGUUGUUAACCUUUGCUUUUCAUUUGCCAAAUGUGUGAGAAGGCUUUGUUACUUUCUCCAAUGCACAGAGAGUUUAUAACACCUUCUCCUCUACACUGUGUGAGCUGGCACUGGCAAACAGUGAGUGCCACAGCAGGCCCCUGGAGAGAGGGUGCAGUAGGGACCCCACUGACUGCACUGUCUGGCAGAUCUAUCCUUCA